ACAUGCAAGUUCGUACGAAGAUUAAACUUCAAGUGGGCGGACGGGUGAGUAACACGUAAGAAUUUGCCUUUAGGAGGGGGACAACAGCUGGAAACGGCUGCUAAUACCCCAUAUGCUUUCGAGUGAAAUGAAUUUUUUCGCCUAAAGAGAAGCUUGCGGCUGAUUAGCUUGUUGGUGAGGUAAUGGCUCACCAAGGCGACGAUCAGUAUCUGGUUUGAGAGGACGAUCAGACACACUGGAACUGAGACACGGUCCAGACUCCUGCGGGAGGCAGCAGUAGGGAAUUUUCCGCAAUGGGCUAACGCCUGACGGAGCAAUACCGCGUGAGGGAUGAAUGCCUAUGGGUUGUAAACCUCUUUUUUCAGGGAGGAACAAAUGACGUGUACCUGAAGAAUAAGCAUCGGCUAACUCCGUGCCAGCAGCCGCGGUAAGACGGAGGAUGCAAGUGUUAUCCGGAAUCACUGGGCGUAAAGCGUCUGUAGGUUGUUUAAUAAGUCAACUGUUAAAUCUUGAGGCUCAACCUCAAACUUGCAGUCGAAACUAUUAGACUAGAGUAUAGUAGGGGUAAAGGGAAUUUCCAGUGGAGCGGUGAAAUGCGUAGAUAUUGGAAAGAACACCGAUGGCGAAGGCACUUUACUGGGCUAUUACUGACACUCAGAGACGAAAGCUAGGGUAGCAAAUGGGAUUAGAUACCCCAGUAGUCCUAGCUGUAAACAAUGGAUACUAGAUGUUGAACAGAUCGACCUGUGCA
rnacentral:rRNA from 1 species